ensembl:miRNA predicted gene, 22932
UGUGGGACCCCUAACAGCAGGAGCAGGAGCUAUCUCUGACUCUGCUUCCUGCCUUUGGACCCUUUCCCCAAA